rnacentral:rRNA from 1 species
UUAGAGUUUGAUCCUGGCUCAGGAUGAACGCUAGCGGCAGGCUUAACACAUGCAAGUCGAGGGGCAGCGAGAUCAGUGCUUGCACUGAUUGUCGGCGACCGGCGCACGGGUGCGUAACGCGUAUGCAACCUACCCAUUACAGGGGGAUAACACUGAGAAAUCGGUACUAAUACCCCAUAACAUCCAGGGAGGCAUCUUCUUGGGUUGAAAACUCCGGUGGUAAUGGAUGGGCAUGCGUUGUAUUAGUUAGUUGGUGGGGUAACGGCUCACCAAGACAACGAUACAUAGGGGGACUGAGAGGUUAACCCCCCACAUUGGUACUGAGACACGGACCAAACUCCUACGGGAGGCAGCAGUGAGGAAUAUUGGUCAAUGGACGCAAGUCUGAACCAGCCAUGCCGCGUGCAGGAAGACGGCUCUAUGAGUUGUAAACUGCUUUUGUACGAGGGUAAACGCAGAUACGCGUAUCUGUCUGAAAGUAUCGUACGAAUAAGGAUCGGCUAACUCCGUGCCAGCAGCCGCGGUAAUACGGAGGAUUCAAGCGUUAUCCGGAUUUAUUGGGUUUAAAGGGUGCGUAGGCGGUCGGAUAAGUUAGAGGUGAAAUCCCGGGGCUCAACUUCGGAAUUGCCUCUGAUACUGUUCGGCUAGAGAGUAGUUGCGGUAGGCGGAAUGUAUGGUGUAGCGGUGAAAUGCUUAGAGAUCAUACAGAACACCGAUUGCGAAGGCAGCUUACCAAGCUACUUCUGACGUUGAGGCACGAAAGCGUGGGGAGCAAACAGGAUUAGAUACCCUGGUAGUCCACGCAGUAA